UACGUAGGGUGCGAGCGUUAAUCGGAAUUGCUGGGCGUAAAGCGUGCGCAGGCGGCUUGCCAAGUCAGAUGUGAAAGCCCCGGGCUUAACCCGGGAACGGCGUUUGAAACUGGCAGGCUAGAGUUUGGCAGAGGGGGGUGGAAUUCCACGUGUAGCAGUGAAAUGCGUAGAGAUGUGGAGGAACACCGAUGGCGAAGGCAGCCCCCUGGGCCAAAACUGACGCUCAGGCACGAAAGCGUGGGGAGCAAACAGG
rnacentral:rRNA from 1 species